rnacentral:rRNA from 1 species
GUCUACAGUCACACCACCCUGAAUCUCACACCUGAUUUCAUCUGAUCUCAGAAGCUAAGCAGGGUCAGGCUUGUUUAGUUCUUGGAUGGGAGACAUCUGGUAUUACUAGGUACUGCAGGGG